UUUCAGCUCAAUAAAAUUGAACGCCAAGUCUCCAGUUCUGCAAAUGGCUAUUUCAGAAGACAAGCUGUGAUUUUCAGCUGAAGCAAGAUUGGGUAAGAGGCCGAAGCAAGCGUGCAGCAGGAAGACCUCAUGAUCCUCAUCUUGCAUAGCAAGAGGAGCAGGCGUCACCCUGCUAUCUUCAGCUGCUCCUCUCUUAAACUGUAUGGCAUCUCACAAAGAAGCAGAGGGUUUGCGAAGCAAUGAAAAUAUGACCCUUUCAUGAAGGAAAGUGUUUUCCAAGGUCCCUCUCUUUGACAACAUCGGAAUUCAGAGCUUAGUGACAGAUAAGAACCUGC
rnacentral:lncRNA from 1 species